rnacentral:rRNA from 1 species
GUUGAAGGUUGGGUAACACUAACUGGAGGACCGAACCGACUAAUGUUGAAAAAUUAGCGGAUGACUUGUGGCUGGGGGUGAAAGGCCAAUCAAACCGGGAGAUAGCUGGUUCUCCCCGAAAGCUAUUUAGGUAGCGCCUCGUGAAUUCAUCUCCGGGGGUAGAGCACUGUUUCGGCAAGGGGGUCAUCCCGACUUACCAACCCGAUGCAAACUGCGAAUACCGGAGAAUGUUAUCACGGGAGACACACGGCGGGUGCUAACGUCCGUCGUGAAGAGGGAAACAACCCAGACCGCCAGCUAAGGUCCCAAAGUCAUGGUUAAGUGGGAAACGAUGUGGGAAGGCCCAGACAGCCAGGAUGUUGGCUUAGAAGCAGCCAUCAUUUAAAGAAAGCGUAAUAGCUCACUGGUCGAGUCGGCCUGCGCGGAAGAUGUAACGGGGCUAAACCAUGCAC